rnacentral:misc_RNA from 1 species
CCAAUGGUGCGCGCCACCUCGGUGGUAGGCCGCACCAGAUCGUCCAGGAGGGUGUUGAUAGAGUCGGCCUGCUCAGCCCAUCCGCCGAUCGCACCGGGCAGGGUCAUGCGCUGCCUGAGGCGCCCCUCUUUGCCGACCGUCCCGCUUAGCCGCGCCACCUCUCCAGUGAUCCGGCCCUGGUGUGCGAGGGUUUGGUUGAAAGCCUCGGCUAUUCGUCCAUCCGUGCCGGGCC